UACAGAGGUCUCAAGCGUUGUUCGGAUUCAUUGGGCGUAAAGGGUGCGUAGGCGGCGCGGUAAGUCGGGUGUGAAAUCUCGGAGCUUAACUCCGAAACUGCAUUCGAUACUGCCGUGCUUGAGGACUGGAGAGGAGACUGGAAUUUACGGUGUAGCGGUGAAAUGCGUAGAUAUCGUAAGGAAGACCAGUGGCGAAGGCGGGUCUCU
rnacentral:rRNA from 1 species